GUUCUAGUUCAUAUGCUUCAAGCUCACAUGGAUCUUUAGCUCCUAGAGUUUUUCCAGGUUGACUAAAAAUAGAUAAACCACCAUUCGAUUGUUUUAAACCACCAUCAUAAUUUCGUUCAGGAUGAUUGAAUCUUGUGUCAACUCUAUGCAAAUACCUUGAACAUAAAGUCAUACAUUCAUUUGCAAUGUAGCCCUCUGCAAUACAACCUUCUGGACAUGCCC
rnacentral:lncRNA from 1 species